CCCUUAGAUGUUCGGGGCCGCACGCGCGCUACACUGAAGGACUCAGCGUGUCUCUCCCCCUAUCCCGAAAGGGAUGGGCAACCCGUUGAACCUCCUUCGUGCUAGGGAUUGGGGUUUGCAAUUAUCCCCCAUGAACGAGGAAUUCCCAGUAAGCGCGAGUCAUCAGCUCGCGUUGAUUACGUCCCUGCCCUUUGUACACACCGCCCGUCGCUACUACCGAUUGGAUGGUUUAGUGAGACCCUCGGAUCGGUCCCGACUCGGGGUGGGCUUCUGCCCCGGUCGUGGUUUCGCCGAGAAGACGGUCAAACUUGAUUAUCUAGAGGAAGUAAAAGUCGUAACA
rnacentral:rRNA from 1 species